UGUAGCUUCAUGCUUCUUCACAAGCCAAACAAAGAAAGAGAGAGAGAGAAAGUAAGAAAGAGAAAAAGAGUUAGAAUGGAGUUGAUGAAUAAGAAGGCAAUGAUGAAGUUAGCUCUAAUGGUUUUCCUCUUGAGCUUCGCCGCAAAUGUUGUUAACGCUCGUUUCGAUUCAACUUCCUUCAUAACUCAAGUGCUCUCCAAGUCUUAGUUUAAGUUAUUACAGAGUAGGGAUGUUCGCGGUGCGGUUUGCGCGGGUUUUGCGAUAAAAAUCACCCGAACCGCAAGAGAAAAAACAUGCGGUUCGGUUUGGUUCGAAUGAAUUUUAGAAAUAAAACCAAACCAAACCAAACCAAAUUAAUGCGGUUUGGGUUGGUUCAGUUGAUUCGGUUUUUUAUAAUAUUUUUAUUGAGCCAUAUAUACUCCUAUAAAUAACGACAUAACUUUGUGUUUA